ACGACUUAGAUGUUGUAAUUAAUUAGGGUUGAGGCCAAAGCCUCCCCCUGCCACAUCCCUCCAGGAUUCUGUCCUGUAAUCAGGAUCAAGGGGUGUCGACCUUCAGGACUAGUGCAGACGAUGCUAUUAAGACUGUGCGAAACUCAAAUAGCUGGCAGGCCGAGUAGGGUGUUGUUCUCCGGCUCACCUGCGAGAUAAAAUGAGCAACUAAGCAUGUAGAAGGUCCAUGAUUUCCUUUGCUGGACGAGGGUUCGAAUCCCUCCGACUCCACCU
rnacentral:tmRNA from 1 species